GCCAACGCACAACCCUAGUGUCUAGUGAGCAACAGCGGCCGCCGGCGAGACACCUGCGCGCGGCGGGGAGUGGGAAGGCAGGCGCCGGGCACCUGAAACCAGCGGUGGCAGGUUCGUGUCAGUGCGGCACCAUUAAGCAGCUGCCGCAGGCAGUCGGCGCCACCGCAGCACCGGGCAGGUCGAGGCGAGGACUGAGCAGUUUUAUGUAGGUUCCUUAUGCAUAUCCUGAAUUUGAGUCCUGCGUACGCUGUCUAUACCACCCCUGCCACACCACUCAAGCACAGAGAACCACACAAACAGCAGGCCAUGGCAUCACUGGCGGGAAGGAGCAGCAUCCGCCACUCCAAGAUUCCAGAGUUCUUGGUGGGCCCUAGUGGGCAACCGAUGCCAGCAGUAGGGCUUGGCACGGUGUCGCACCCAUUCGUGGAGGACGAAGUUAGGGCCGCUGUGCUCACCGCGCUGGAGCUCGGCUACCGUCACAUCGAUACCGCAGCGCUGUAUGCCUCUGAGCGGGUUGUCGGCGAGGCCAUGGCUGAGGCAUUGCAGUCUGGGAUUGUGGCAUCUAGGGAGGAGCUGUUUGUGACGAGCAAGGUGUGGUGCACACAGUGCCACCCUGAGCUCGUGCUCCCAUCCCUUAAGGAGAGCUUGCAGAACCUUCAAAUGGAAUAUGUUGAUUUGUACCUGAUUCAUUGGCCCAUGGCUGUAAAGCCUAGCAAGCCUCAUUUCCCAAUGAAAAGGGAGGACAUUCUGCCGAUGGACCUGAGUGGUGUAUGGCAGGCUAUGGAGGAAUGUCAUCGGCUUGGCCUUGCUAAAAUGAUUGGUGUUAGCAAUUUCACAACAAAGAAGCUGCAGGAGCUGCUUUCCAUUGCAAAAAUACCUCCAGCAGUAAAUCAGGUUGAAUUGAAUCCGACUUGGCAGCAGAAAAAACUAAUUGAGUUCUGCAAAGAUAAGAGUAUUCAGGUGGCUGCUUAUUCUCCCCUGGGAGGCCAAAGAAUACCUAAAAUGAAUCCAGUACGACAAUCUGAUGUUCUGGAAGAGAUUGGAAGGACCAGAGGGAAGUCAGUGGCUCAGAUUUCACUGAGAUGGAUCUACGAGCAAGGUGCAAGCAUGGUGGUGAAGAGCUUGAAAAGAGAAAGGCUUAAGGAGAACAUCGAGAUUUUCGAUUGGGAAUUGAGUGAUGGAGACCGGUCGAAGAUUGGUCAGAUACCACAGCGCAAGUUGAUCACAGUACAGAAUCUUCUCUGCCCUGAAGGCAUCUCCAGUGUGGAUAUCUCGGAUGUUGAUGUUUUUGAAAUGUAGCUGUGAUCUCCGAAUAUUUGUGGUGGAUGAAGAAUUUAGUGUAUAGCAGGUUUAUACGUCAGAAGCAGAACACACUAUAGCGGGUGUCUUAGUUCGCGGUGAAGAGGCGCAAGGAGAAAUUCGCAUGGUUUAGUGCACAAGGGUUACUGGCUAACCAGUUGACACAUAAAUGACUGUCUACGGGUGAUGGAGCAAUCUUUCACAAGAACCUAAGCGCAGACUGAACGAGCAAAUUUGAAAAAGAAAAGGAGAUGAGGAGAUACUGCCUUUCCAUUUUGUUGUGCUUUUUAUGCGCGCUUCGUCUUCGUUUAUCGAUCCUGUGUUCUAGAUGUCCCCCUAGCACUGACCUGUCAGAAACGUGGAAAAAAGAUAGAAGUAUUUUCUGUUGAAUGCUUGCAAUGCAAUGCACCCCCUCCGAC